rnacentral:rRNA from 1 species
AUGUCGCCGCCGCCACCGCCAAAAGCCUGUGCCGGCAGGGCGCGCGUCGUGGAGGUCUGGGCCCAUAACGAGGAGGCGGAGCUGGCACGCAUCUCCGACCUCUUCAGGGAGCUGGAAUUCCCCGUCGCAGUCAUGGCCACGUCCUACGACGUCCCGUCCCGCCCGGUCAUGCCCCGUGCCCCGCGGACCCCUAACCUCCACGCCGGCGCCGACGGCGUCUACCGCAUCACCGACCGGGUCCCGUUCCGCUACGCCUUGGACUACAGCUGCGACUGCCUCCACGCCAGGGUCCGAGCCGCGCGAUUCUUCCAGAUGUCCCUCGCGCUCCUCGACCGCGACGGCCGCCCCGCUCUGGGCCGCAUCUGGCGUUUCCACCUGGGCGUGCCGCGCGCCGAGGACGAACGCUUCCUGGCGGAGCUGGGCGUGGAGGAGGCCUCGGUCCGCCGCGCCGACCGCUCCCGCCUCGCCGGGGCUCUCACCGAGUGCUGCGCCAUCUACAACAGCCGUGUCACCUGGGUGACCUCCGACGGCGCCGAGGACACCCUCCACCUGCUGGACUGCUUCCAGAACCCCCUCCUCGUGCGUAGAACCACCGACCGCCGGCAGCUCAUCCGGAGCUCGCGGACUUUCUUUCCGGAGCUGUACGACCUCAGGUUUCUGGCCGAGUGGCGGACCCUGUCCGGGGAGGAGCCUCCGCUGCUGGCGGCCGCCAAGUCCGGAACGCCGGACGCGCUCCUCCGCGGCUUCCUUGCGCUGACGAGAGAGCCGGCGUUCGCCGAGCGGAUGGUGGGGUACAACGGGAUGCUGUUCGGGCUCGGUCACUGUGACACCUCCGACAUCCAGCGGUUUUACACGAGCUAUGAGGAGCAGGAAACACGGGUCAAGGAGCAAAGGGCUGCUGUGAAUCAAAACAGCUCUCUCAGCACUUCCAAUGCAUUCGGGUUUUGA